rnacentral:rRNA from 1 species
CGGGUCUUGUACACACCGCCCGUCACACCACGAGAGUUUGUAACACCCGAAGCCGGUGGAGUAACCUUUUAGGAGCUAGCCGUCGAAGGUGGGACAAAUGAUUGGGGUGAAGUCGUAACAAGGUAGCCGUAUCGGAAGGUGCGGCUGGAUCACCUCCUUU